rnacentral:rRNA from 1 species
GACGAACGCUGGCGGCGUGCUUAACACAUGCAAGUGGAGCGACGAACCGGGGCUUGCCCCGGGGCAGAGCCGCGAACGGGUGAGUAACACGUGGGUUACCUACCCCAAUGACCGGGACAACCCGAGGAAACUCGAGCUAAUACCGGAUGUGGUCUUCGGACGAAAGGAAGCUUCGGCCUCCGCAUUGGGAUGGGCCCGCGGCGCAUUAGCUUGUUGGUGGGGUAACGGCCUACCAAGGCGA